rnacentral:tRNA from 3 species
AUUUAUAUAGUUUAAUAAAACAUUACACUUUCACUGUAAAGAUAAAGACCAACUUUUAUAAAUA